rnacentral:rRNA from 1 species
AGUGAACGCUGGCGGUAGGCCUAACACAUGCAAGUCGAACGGCAGCACAGUAAGAGCUUGCUCUUACGGGUGGCGAGUGGCGGACGGGUGAGGAAUACAUCGGAAUCUACUUUUUCGUGGGGGAUAACUUAGGGAAACUUACCCUAAUACCGCAUACGACCUACGGGUGAAAGCGGGGGAUCUUCGGACCUUGCGCGAUUGAAUGAGCCGAUGUCGGAUUAGCUAGUUGGCGGGGUAAAGGCCCACCAAGGCGACGAUCCGUAGCUGGUCUGAGAGGAUGAUCAGCCACACUGGAACUGAGACACGGUCCAGACUCCUACGGGAGGCAGCAGUGGGGAAUAUUGGACAAUGGGCGCAAGCCUGAUCCAGCCAUACCGCGUGGGUGAAGAAGGCCUUCGGGUUGUAAAGCCCUUUUGUUGGGAAAGAAAAGCAGCAGGUUAAUACCCCGCUGUUCUGACGGUACCCAAAGAAUAAGCACCGGCUAACUUCGUG